rnacentral:rRNA from 1 species
AGAGUUUGAUUCUGGCUCAGGACGAACGCUGGCGGCGUGCCUAACACAUGCAAGUCGAACGGGGUACCCUGAAGCGAGGCUUCGGCCAAGCGGAAGGACUACCUAGUGGCGGACGGGUGAGUAACGCGUGAGCAACCUGCCUUUCAGAGGGGGACAACAGUUGGAAACGACUGCUAAUACCGCAUAAAAUCAUAGGAUGGCAUCAUCUAAUGAUCAAAGAUUUAUCGCUGAAAGAUGGGCUCGCGUCUGAUUAGAUAGUUGGUGAGGUAACGGCUCACCAAGUCGACGAUCAGUAGCCGGACUGAGAGGUUGAACGGCCACAUUGGGACUGAGAUACGGCCCAG